rnacentral:rRNA from 1 species
ACAUGCAGUCGAACGGUAGACUACUUUCGGGUAGUUGAGAGUGGCGCACGGGUGCGUAACGCGUAUGCAACCUACCUUGUACAGGGGGAUAGCCCGGAGAAAUUCGGAUUAAUACCCCAUAGCAUUAUCAGAUGGCAUCUGAAGAUAAUUAAAGAUUUAUCGGUACAAGAUGGGCAUGCGUGACAUUAGUUAGUUGGUAGGGUAAAGGCCUACCAAGACGAUGAUGUCUAGGGGUUCUGAGAGGAUGAUCCCCCACACUGGUACUGAGAUACGGACCAGACUCCUACGGGAGGCAGCAGUAGGGAAUAUUGGUCAAUGGGCGAGAGCCUGAACCAGCCAUGCCGCGUGCAGGAAGACGGCCUUCUGGGUUGUAAACUGCUUUUCUACGGGAAGAAAAUGCCCUUGCGAGGGAAAUUGCCGGUACCGUAGGAAUAAGCACCGGCUAACUCCGUGCCAGCAGCCGCGGUAAUACGGAGGGUGCAAGCGUUGUCCGGAUUUAUUGGGUUUAAAGGGUGCGUAGGCGGAUCUUUAAGUCAGUGGUGAAAGCCUGCAGCUUAACUGUAGAAUUGCCAUUGAUACUGGAGGUCUUGAGUGUACUAGAGGUAGGCGGAAUUUAUGGUGUAGCGGUGAAAUGCAUAGAUACCAUAAAGAACACCGAUAGCGUAGGCAGCUUACUGGAGUACAACUGACGCUGAGGCACGAAAGCAUGGGGAGCGAACAGGAUUAGAUACCCUGGUAGUCCAUGCCGUAAACGAUGAUUACUCGAUGUUGGCGAUAUACAGUCAGCGUCCAAGCGAAAGCGUUAAGUAAUCCACCUGGGGAGUA